rnacentral:rRNA from 1 species
UUUGUCUUGUAAUUGGAAUGAUGGGAAUCUAAACCCUUCCCAGAGUAUCAAUUGGAGGGCAAGUCUGGUGCCAGCAGCCGCGGUAAUUCCAGCUCCAAUAGCGUAUAUUAAAGUUGUUGCAGUUAAGAAGCUCGUAGUUGAAUUUCUGCCUUGUCAUUAAUCUCGCUUCCGAGCGUUUUUUUAUUGACUUGGCAUCUUCUGGAUUUGGUGCCUUCGGGUACUAUUUUCCAGGAUUUACUUUGAGAAAACUAGAGUGUUUCAAACAGGCAUUCGCCUUGAAUACUACAGCAUGGAAUAAUGAAGUAGGACUUUGGUUCUAUUUUGUUGGUUAUUGAGCCAGAGUAAUGGUUAAUAGGAGCAGUUGGGGGCAUUCGUAUUUAACUGUCAGAGGUGAAAUUCUUAGAUUUGUUAAAGACGAACUACUGCG